rnacentral:rRNA from 1 species
AUUGAACGCUGGCGGCAGGCCUAACACAUGCAGGUCGAGCGGAUGGAGGGAGCUUGCUCCUGGAUUCAGCGGCGGACGGGUGAGUAAUGCCUAGGAAUCUGCCUGGUAGUGGGGGAUAACGUCCGGAAACGGGCGCUAAUACCGCAUACGUCCUGAGGGAGAAAGUGGGGGAUCUUCGGACCUCACGCUAUCAGAUGAGCCUAGGUCGGAUUAGCUAGUUGGUGGGGUAAAGGCCUACCAAGGCGACGAUCCGUAACUGGUCUGAGAGGAUGAUCAGUCACACUGGAACUGAGACACGGUCCAGACUCCUACGGGAGGCAGCAGUGGGGAAUAUUGGACAAUGGGCGAAAGCCUGAUCCAGCCAUGCCGCGUGUGUGAAGAAGGUCUUCGGAUUGUAAAGCACUUUAAGUUGGGAGGAAGGGCAGUAAGUUAAUACCUUGCUGUUUUGACGUUACCAACAGAAUAAGCACCGGCUAACUUCGUG